CAGUCGCCGCGGUAAUACGUAGGGUGCGAGCGUUAAUCGGAAUUACUGGGCGUAAAGCGUGCGCAGGCGGUUUUGUAAGACAGGCGUGAGAUCCCCGGGCUCAACCUGGGAAUGGCGCUUGUGACUGCAAAGCUAGAGUGCGGCAGAGAGGGAUGGAAUUCCGCGUGUAGCAGUGAAAUGCGUAGAUAUGCGGAGGAACACCGAUGGCGAAGGCAAUCCCCUGGGCCUGCACUGACGCUGAUGCACGAAAGCUAGGGGAGCAAACAGGAUUAGAUACCCGCGUAGUCCCUGUCUCUUAUAC
rnacentral:rRNA from 1 species